rnacentral:rRNA from 1 species
CAGCCGCCACGGGAAUACAGAGGGUGCGAGCGUUAAUCGGAUUUACUGGGCGUAAAGCGUGCGUAGGCGGCUUUUUAAGUCGGAUGUGAAAUCCCUGAGCUUAACUUAGGAAUUGCAUUCGAUACUGGGAAGCUAGAGUAUGGGAGAGGAUGGUAGAAUUCCAGGUGUAGCGGUGAAAUGCGUAGAGAUCUGGAGGAAUACCGAUGGCGAAGGCAGCCAUCUGGCCUAAUACUGACGCUGAGGUACGAAAGCAUGGGGAGCAAACAGGAUUAGAUACCCCCGUAGUCCCUGUCUCUUAUAA